rnacentral:rRNA from 1 species
ACGAACGCUGGCGGCGUGCUUAACACAUGCAAGUCGAACGGAAAGGCCCUGCUUUUGUGGGGUGCUCGAGUGGCGAACGGGUGAGUAACACGUGAGUAACCUGCCCUUGACUUUGGGAUAACUUCAGGAAACUGGGGCUAAUACCGGAUAGGAGCUCCUGCUGCAUGGUGGGGGUUGGAAAGUUUCGGCGGUUGGGGAUGGACUCGCGGCUUAUCAGCUUGUUGGUGGGGUAGUGGCUUACCAAGGCUUUGACGGGUAGCCGGCCUGAGAGGGUGACCGGCCACAUUUGGACUGAGAUACGGCCCAGACUCCUACGGGAGGCAGCAGUGGGGAAUAUUGCACAAUGGGCGGAAGCCUGAUGCAGCAACGCCGCGUGCGGGAUGACGGCCUUCGGGUUGUAAACCGCUUUCGCCUGUGACGAAGCGUGAGUGACGGUAAUGGGUAAAGAAGCACCGGCUAACUACGUG